UUUGUUUUGUUUCUUUGAUUUUGAUUCCGGUGUUUAAGUUUUGCUGUUGUUCCUAACAGCUGACUGUGGACUCUCCAGCAGGGAUCAGAUUUCACCAACCACCCUAGAGCAAAGCUGCUUUGGUUCACCGCAGCACUCGUGGUCAUCACUAUGCUGUUUCUCGCCUGAAUUUACAUGCAUGGACUGGGAGGAUGUGAGCGUUGACGCAGAUGAACCAAACUGUGACUCCAUCAGUGUGUGUGGACAUGCAACAGUCAAUAAACAAGCAAAGAAAAGCCGACCGACUUCACCAUGACCACCAGGUGUCAAACAUCAGAAGUGUCCCACAUGUGGUCAUUUUUUAUUUUAAACAGAAGUUAUAGUUAAAAUUAAGAUAUUUAUACGAUAGCUAAUGAUGGCAGAAGCAGCUGUUUUAGUGGGUGUGUUGAUUAACAGUGGAUCUAUCCAGGAAUUUCCCAGAAACACAAAAAAAGAAUCUGCAUUGGUGGCAUGGACAUGCCAAGUUACUGUGUAUUAUGUUGCAGUUUAUUGAAUGACCACUAGGUGUCAGAAAAACACCAGCGAGGUUGAACAAUACUGAGCUCUGUAGUCAUGACCUCACUUUUAUAUCUGUGGUUAUUUUGAUAUUUGUAGUUUUGGAUGAUGACGUAUUGAUUAUAUUGUAAAGGAGCUGCACAUACACCACUUCACUAACCUAAAUCCUUCUUUUAAAUCAGCUCUAAAAACACACAUUUUUACAUUAGCCUUCUCUUUUAAAAAAAUCUUUUGUUUUUACCAAUGUUUUGAUGUUUUAGAUUUUCAUUAUUUUUGUUUUAUAUUAUUUUAUUUUUCCACGUAUUGUUGAAUAUAUGUAUUUUAUUUCCUUUGUCAGACUUCUUGUGAAGCGCUUUGUAACUGAAGUUUUGAAAAGUGCUCUAUAAAUAAACUGAUUAUUAUUAUAAAUAAAUCCAAAAAAAUUAGGACGCAGUGUUAAACAAAAAUAAAAACAGAAUGCCAUGAUU